UGCAAUUGUGAGGCUGAAUACAUUUUAAAAUAUUACCUUUUCUUAUUUAAUUGAAUGUUGUGGUUACUGUUUCACGGUCAAUACCACAGAAUUGAUUGUACAGGCUGUACCUGUAUAUGAUUUGAAAAUGUAAACCUUCACCUUGAGAGAAAAAAACUAUGAAAACAAAUUCAGGUAAUGUGCAGCAGCUGAUACGAGGUCUCUGCACUUCAGAAGCACCAACCUGCAGAGCUGCCUGGGGGAGGAGGAGGAAGAAUCUCAUUUCUCUGCCUGUACCACCGCUGGGAUUAAAGGAAAUAUACAUUAUUCUGAGUCAUUGCAUUUCCCAAGAAUAGAUCUAAGAGCUGCAAUAGUCCACAACAGAGAUCAGCAAGAAGGAUAGGAAAACCAAAGAUGGCAUACAGGUAUUCUAUCAUGCUGUGUGGUCUAGAAGUUGAUCAAACAUCAUAGAAUAGAGAUCUGUAAAAGGCAACACCUCCCUGCCUCUGUUUAAAUUUAAAGUGCACUG